rnacentral:rRNA from 1 species
CGGAUGGAAAUCGGGCUGGACGUGUAAAGGCACAAGCCGGCUUAACUGCGAGACCUACAAGUCGAGCAGAUGCGAAAGCAGAACUUAGUGACCCGACGGCAAUGUUAUACGUUUUAAUUAAUGUGUAACUCUUCAUAGGAAGGCCGAAGACAACGGAUAAAAGCUACCCUGGGGAUAACAGGCUGGUGAUGCCCGAGAGUCCAUAUCGACGGCAUCGCUCGGCACCUUAAUAUGUCGGGGUGCUACAGCAGCAAUGUUGUAGCCUGGUAUCUAAACCUUAGUAUUUGGCUUAUAACGGUGGACUCUAUUUGUUCUAAUAAAUAGACAAUACCGUGGGAAGUUUGACUCAUAAUGGAAAAUAAAUGAGUUAUAGAGGGAAGUUGGCCCUAGUACGAGAGGACCGGGCUGAACGAACCUCUGGUCUACCGGCUUUGGCACCAGCUGAAGCGCCGGGUAGCUAUGUUCGGAAGGGAUAAGUGCUGAAAGCAUCUAAGCGCGAAGCCCAUCCCAAGAUUAGGCAUCUUAGGGCGGUUGAAGAUGACGACCUUGAUAGGCUCCAGGUGUAAGAUUCGCAAGAAUUUUAGCCGAGGAGUACUAAUAGCCCAUUC